rnacentral:rRNA from 1 species
CACGUAGGGUGCGAGCGUUGUCCGGAAUUAUUGGGCGUAAAGAGCUCGUAGGCGGUUUGUUGCGUCGGCUGUGAAAUCCCGAGGCUCAACCUCGGGUCUGCAGUCGAUACGAGCAAACUAGAGUGUUGCAGGGGAGACUGGAAUUCCUGGUGUAGCGGUGAAAUGCGCAGAUAUCAGGAGGAACACCGGUGGCGAAGGCGGGUCUCUGGGCAACAACUGACGCUGAGGAGCGAAAGCGUGGGGAGCGAACAGG